AACGAACGCUGGCGGCGUGCUUAACACAUGCAAGUCGAACGGCAAGGCCCUGCUUUUGUGGGGUGCUCGGGGGGCGAACGCGUGCGUAACACGUGAGUAACCUGCCCUUCACUUUGGGAUAACUUCAGGAAACUGGGGCUACUACCGUAUAGGAUCUCCUGCUGCGUGGUGGGCGUUGGAACGUUUCGGCGGUUGGGGAUGGACUCGCGGCUUAUCAGCUUGUUGGUUGGGUAGUGGUUGACCAAGGCAUUGACGGGUAGCCGGCCUGGGAGGGUGACCGGCCACAUUGGGACUGAGAUACGGCGCAGAGUCCUACGGGAGGCAGCAGUGGGGAACAUUGCACAAUGGGCGGAAGCCUGAUGCAGCAACGCCGCGGGCGGGAUGACGGCCUUCGGGUUGUAAACAGCUGUCGCCUGUGACGAAGCGUGAGUGACGGUAAUGGGUAAAGAAGCACCGGCUAACUACGUG
rnacentral:rRNA from 1 species